GGGGGUGUGCCCGAGUGGUUAAAGGGGACGGGCUGUAAACCCGUUGGCUAUGCCUACUAUGGUUCGAAUCCAUACGCCCCCACCA
rnacentral:tRNA from 1 species